CGGUCCUCCCCCCCAACUCGGCGCCCAGAGCUUCCGUCGCAACCAGCUACCGCUCUCCCCAUCCGUCCCGAGCCGCCUCACCCUGUGAGGGGGUCUCCAGUGAACUUCGUGCCGCUCUUGCCGUCACCCCACCAGCCGCGCUCGCCGCUGGAGCUCAGAACGGACUGCCCGCCCCUUCCAGCGGGGGAGGGGGUGCCGGGGCCGCGCCCGGGCCGGGCCGGGGAGGAGCCAGGCGGGGGGCGCUCCCUCAGAACUGACAUACAUGACAACUUUAUGCAGCCACAUUACUGUGUUCUGCAGAAUAAGAGAGAAUACUGUAAAUUGGAAAAGAUGUUGAGACAAAAUCUCCUUUGACCUCUGGCAUGCAGAGGAAAUAGAUCCAAGAUGUGUUUGGUGUUCCUAAUCAUCAGUGAUGUGCUAUGUAGAGAUCCACUUCUGGAUCUCUACAUGGACUUCUGCGCCCAGUAAAAUACAGGCAGAGAAAAAAACAAAUUCCUUCAAUUCCUUGUUAAAAAAGCCGAACAUUCGUGAAAGCAGCUGGUCCCAGAGGUGGAACAUUCCAAAACCCUGUUUGGAGCCAAGUGAAUACGUUAAGGAGUCAGUCGUGACACCACUUUAUAGAGAACAGACAAUGAGUUUUGGAUCUCGUAAGUACCUUUCAUCCCUGCAAAUAAGUUCCCUUCCCCCAUUCUUUUGGAAACAUCUCAGUCUGUAUUGGAAACAGAGGAUGUAAUUUAUUUUUAUCGCCUUCCCUGUCGAACUGGCCAACUGCCACAGGGUUCUGCUUUCAGAUGUAGCAAGAGGCAGGAGAAUCACAGUGACAAACCAUUCAUUUCAGUGGCUCCUCCUGUUUCCUUAUCUUAUUUAGAGGCUGCCUACUGUGCUCCCUUAUCACUCUUUCUAAUCCUGCAAAACUUCUCUGCAACUUGGCCCCUCCACAGAAAAAGCUGACCUGCUUAGACCUCUCUGCUUCUCUACUCCUGUUCCCUUCCUCACAGAGCAAGUUGUUCCUUCCUUUGUUACUUUAGAACUCCUUUUUCAAUUCCUAUCUUAGUCCCUCUCUCCUCCUUUUCCUAGUUCCUAUUGCAUUACAUUUCCUAGCUGAAUGCACAUACAGCUGUGUGGCCUCCUUCAGGUAUGCUUAAUUUCUCACUGUUCAGCCUGCCCUUUGAUGUCUGCUGAAGAAGGAUACAUCUUCUUUUCCAUCUCUUCACAUGUGCCUAUUAAUUACUCUCUUCAGAGAGACUGUUUACUGACUAUCACUCUGUUUAUAGUUGAAUACAGCUAAACAUUUGGUCUUCACAGUUCUCCUUCUUAUACACCACCCACCCAGUUUCUUCCCAAUUGUUGCAGAAUAGAUGUCUCCAAAUCACUUUAUAAAGUCACAGAUGCAUUGUACUUGCAUUCCCACACCCAGCCUCCUGCUCUCAAGCACUGUUUUUGCUUCACUUACAGAGUUGUAAAGAAAGACUUUGCAUUGGUAAUUUUGUCUCUAGUUCUCUAAUAAAAAAGAAGCAGUGAGGAUUAACAUCUUGCCCUUUCUGUUGCACAUAUUCCUACCUUGGGCACUGCAGAGAACCCUGAAAGCUCUGUAAGCAUCAGACUUCUGACCUGUGAAGAAAUAAUACGAACUCAAUAUCAAGUACAGAAGAAUGUCCACUGAAGUUAGGAGGGUUAUCCUAUGCAUAAAUUGUGCAUAUGUCUUUGUGUGACCAGGAACCUUGGGCAGGGGGAAUUUUAAUAUGCUGGGGAAGGAUAAAAAUUACUCUAGCAAAUGCGCAGAAGAGAAGAAUUAUAUGGUUAUAAUGCAGCAAUUGAGAUCUAAGAUGAAAAUUCCUUCAGAUGUCCUUCUCAUUCCAUAUGGAGCUUAAAAUAUUACAAAAUAAUAUGAAAUAAAUGUAAAACAAA